AGGGCACCACCAGGAGUGGAGCCUGCGGCUUAAUUUGACUCAACACGGGAAAACUCACCCGGCCCGGACACUGGAAGGAUUGACAGAUUGAGAGCUCUUUCUUGAUUCAGUGGGUGGUGGUGCAUGGCCGUUCUUAGUUGGUGGAGUGAUUUGUCUGGUUAAUUCCGAUAACGAACGAGACUCUAGCCUACUAAAUAGAUCGUCGGCUUACAAACGCCGGCGAGACUUCUUAGAGGGACAGGCGGUGAUUCAACCGCACGAAACAGAGCAAUAACAGGUCUGUGAUGCCCUUAGAUGUCCGGGGCCGCACGCGCGCUACACUGAAGUGAUCAGCGUGCUUUUUCAACCUACUCUGUCAAGAGUGGGGAACCCAAUGAACCUCCUUCGUGAUUGGGAUAGGGGAUUGUAAUUAUUCCCCUUGAACGAGGAAUUCCCAGUAAGCGCGAGUCAUAAGCUCGCGUUGAUUACGUCCCUGCCCUUUGUACACACCGCCCGUCGCUACUACCGAUUGAAUGUUUU
rnacentral:rRNA from 1 species